GAGCGAACCGUGCGAACGUUGUUCGGAAUCACUGGGCUUAAAGGGCGCGUAGGCGGGCGGCAAAGUCAGGGGUGAAAUACCUCCAGCUUCAACUGGAGAAGUGCCUUUAUACUGGUCGUCUUGAGGAAGGUAGGGCAUGCGGAACUGAUGGUGGAGCGGUGAAAUGUGUUGAUAUCAAUCAGGAACUCCGGUGGCGAAAGCGGCGUGCUGG
rnacentral:rRNA from 1 species